rnacentral:lncRNA from 1 species
CUUUUGAGGCUAAAGAGCCAACAACGGAACAAAAGGAUCGCUUGAUGUGAACUAUUGUGGUCAAGGCAGCACAUGGAAGUUUUAAUUGCUGGCCCCCUCAACCUUUUUGCAUGCCUUGCAUCAUAGGAGCUGGAAGCCAAGAUCCAAUUAGUCUACUUACAUGCGUGAGAAAGUCUCCCACCAAAUAUCUCACAAAAUGCGGAUCCCACCAAACCUAACUAUGCUUUGCUUUGAAAAUUAUCCAAUCUUUUUCAUUACUCCAAAGCCCCUAAUAGUCCCACUCUCCUUGCUCAUACUUGCUCGCUUCUUGUGUAAGUUGUUUUGCUUGGAAGCAUUGAUAUGGAGGAUACUUUGUAGCC